rnacentral:rRNA from 1 species
GACGAACGCUGGCGGCGUGCCUAAUACAUGCAAGUCGAGCGAGCUUGCCUAGAUGAAUUUGGUGCUUGCACCAGAUGAAACUAGAUACAAGCGAGCGGCGGACGGGUGAGUAACACGUGGGUAACCUGCCCAAGAGACUGGGAUAACACCUGGAAACAGAUGCUAAUACCGGAUAACAACACUAGACGCAUGUCUAGAGUUUAAAAGAUGGUUCUGCUAUCACUCUUGGAUGGACCUGCGGUGCAUUAGCUAGUUGGUAAGGCAACGGCUUACCAAGGCAAUAGGGAAGGGCCAAGUGGAGAGCAUGAGCGGCCACAUUGGGACUGAGACACGGCACAACCCCCUACGGGAGGCAGCAGGGGGAAAUCUUCAAAAAUGGACGAAGGUCGGAGGGAGCAGCGCGGGGUGAGUAAAGAGGGUUUUCGGCUCGUAAAGUUGUGUUGGUAGUAAAAAAAGAAAGGGGUAGUAACUGGCUUUUUUUGGAGGUAAUUUAUUUAGAAAGUCACGCCAACCUACGUC